GAGGGAUCAAAUCCUUCGGCUUG
rnacentral:snRNA from 1 species